rnacentral:rRNA from 1 species
CCAUCCCGAACACGGUAGUUAAGCUUCUCUGCGCCAAUGGUAGUUGGGGGCUUCCCCCUGCGAGAGUAGGUCGCUGCCGGGC